GUUAUCUUUUGUUUCCAGUUCAAAGCCGGGAUUUCUUUAGGGCAAUGGUUCGGCCGGAGUUCUAGAAGUUAUCCCAUUUCCGCUUUGUUCUUGGUUUUUGUUUUUUUUUAUUCCUUAGACGGGUACUCUUUUUCCUCUUAUCUUUGAAGAUGUUUUAAUGAGGCCCGGCCCUUAGUCUGCUUUUUGUGCUUUCAGGGGUUCUUGGUUUGGUUUUUUCCUUUUUCUUUUCAAUAAAUUGCAAUUUAAUAAUAAAUAAAUCAUCCGCACUUGAGGAUAUUUCUCUAGACAUCAACCCUACUGUAAC
rnacentral:lncRNA from 1 species